rnacentral:rRNA from 1 species
GUACACUCCUACGGGAGGCAGCAGUGGGGAAUAUUGGACAAUGGGCGCAAGCCUGAUCCAGCCAUGCCGCGUGAGUGAUGAAGGCCCUAGGGUUGUAAAGCUCUUUCACCGGUGAAGAUAAUGACGGUAACCGGAGAAGAAGCCCCGGCUAACUUCGUGCCAGCAGCCGCGGUAAUACGAAGGGGGCUAGCGUUGUUCGGAUUUACUGGGCGUAAAGCGCACGUAGGCGGACUAUUAAGUCAGGGGUGAAAUCCCGGGGCUCAACCCCGGAACUGCCUUUGAUACUGGUAGUCUUGAGUUCGAGAGAGGUGAGUGGAAUUCCGAGUGUAGAGGUGAAAUUCGUAGAUAUUCGGAGGAACACCAGUGGCGAAGGCGGCUCACUGGCUCGAUACUGACGCUGAGGUGCGAAAGCGUGGGGAGCAAACAGGAUUAGAUACCCGAGUAGUCCC